rnacentral:tRNA from 2 species
GGAAGCGUGGCUGAGAGGUUGAAAGCACCACUUUCGAAAAGUGGCAUGCGGGAAACCGUAUCGUGAGUUCGAAUCUCACCGCUUCCG